UUGACGCAAGUAAAAAAAGAUGAUAGACACAAUGUUGCAAUUGAUGCAUGCAGGUAACAUGUUAAUGCAAGUAGAAACCACAUGUGUGUAAAUGAAGAGAUAAAGUGUAUCAAAAGUGAAUAUAAAAACACUUAGAGCUCUCUGAUAUGUGUAGAAGAUCUGUUGAAGAGAGAAAGAGCUUACAAGCAAGCAGCAAGCGGAAGCCAGCUAAAGACCACAACCCUCAGAAGAUCAAAGACACAUGUUUUUCAAAUUCUGAACAUAUACUGAGUAGAGAAGAGGGAGUGCGCCAGGAGAGAGAUGCAGAGAGCGGCACUACUAUGGCAUAAUGAAUCAAAUAACGAAGCAGGCUGAAGUAAAACGCAGCAACAGGUAAGGAUUUUAAACAGCACAACAUUUUUCAAAGGAUCAUGUUUUUCUGAG